UUUUCCAACAGUAGACUCUAUCCUCUCAAUGGAUUACUUUUCCAGCAAAGCCUCCUUAAGGUAAGACAUCCAACAGGGUUGGAUGCCCCAACUCUGGCAGUGUUCAAAGCCAGGCUGGAUAAGGCCUUGAGCAACCUGGUCUAGUGGGAGCUGUCCCUGCACAUAGCAGGGGGUUGGGACUAUGUAGUGUUUAAGGUCCAUACCAAUCCCUUAGCAUUCCAUGAUUCUACGUUUCUGUGACAUGAAAGGCUUGGAUGUAAAAUUCCCACAAGCAAUCUAUACCUCAGAAAGCUGCACCUUUCCUCAGCUUUCCUGACAAUUUCCCAAUAUGUUCUCCAACUAUGUGCCAAGACUGACCUUUUCCUCCUUAAGAGAUAUCAGUUAAGCCCACAGGAAAGGCACAUUUGUCUCAUUGCUGAGAGCUGGCCAGGAGCUCUGCAAAUGUUGGCUGCUCUGUCAGGAUAACUGGAGAAGCCUGAUGAUGAUACAUCCUCAACGAGGCCCCAGACCAAUGGGCAUUGGAUGUAACUGUCCAUGAACAGCUGUUGUAAGUGCAACAGCAUACAGGAACUUCUCUCAUUGCAAAGAUCCCAGAGAUGGGCAGCAACGCAACUGUGGUGCCUGAGAUUUUAUUUUUACAAGAGUGGCAUGCAUGACA